AACGAACGCUGGCGGCAGGCUUAACACAUGCAAGUCGAACGCCCCGCAAGGGGAGUGGCAGACGGGUGAGUAACGCGUGGGAAUCUACCUAGUUCUACGGAACAACAGUUGGAAACGACUGCUAAUACCGUAUACGCCCUAUGGGGGAAAGAUUUAUCGGAAUUAGAUGAGCCCGCGUUGGAUUAGCUAGUUGGUGGGGUAAUGGCCUACCAAGGCGACGAUCCAUAGCUGGUCUGAGAGGAUGAUCAGCCACACUGGGACUGAGACACGGCCCAGACUCCUACGGGAGGCAGCAGUGGGGAAUAUUGGACAAUGGGCGCAAGCCUGAUCCAGCCAUGCCGCGUGAGUGAUGAAGGCCUUAGGGUUGUAAAGCUCUUUCACCGAUGAAGAUAAUGACGGUAGUCGGAGAAGAAGCCCCGGCUAACUUCGUGCCAGCCGCCGCUGUAAGAC
rnacentral:rRNA from 1 species